rnacentral:rRNA from 1 species
UACAUGUGGGCAAGCGUUGUUCGGAAUUACUGGGCAUAAAGGGUGCGUAGGUGGUUUGUUAAGUCAGGGUGAAAUCCCGCGGCCUAACCGUGGAACUGCCUUUGAUACUGGCGAACUUGAGUGCGUGAGGGGUAGGGGAAUGAGUAGUGUAGCGGUAAAAUGUGUAGAUAUUGUUCGGAAGGCCAGAGUUGAAGGGGUUUUAUUGGUGCGUAACUGACACUGAGGCACGAAAGCGUGGGGAGCAAACAGGAUUAGAAACCCUGGUAGU